GUGCAAGUGGACAUUAAUGCUUUUGAAUUCACAACUCACAAGAAGUGGUUAGGUGUCCUCGGAUGUGUUUUUCUC
rnacentral:lncRNA from 1 species